CUGAAGAAAUGUUAGGGUUGAGCUGACUCCUUGGAGUAUGUGCUUGCCCUAUCACUCCUUCCUUCUCCUCCUGUGCACCUCUGUAGGCUACGAAAACUGUCGGUUUGGGCAACCAAAACUGGAUUGGGAACUUGCUUCGGCAUGUUCUUGUAUUCGUAGCCUAUGCUUUACAAACUCUUAUAAAACUUGAGAAUGUGUUGUUUGGUUUUAAACCAAUAAAAUACAAAA
rnacentral:misc_RNA from 1 species